UACAGGGUAAGCUCGCUUUUAUGCUGUUAUUGAGAAUUUGAUUGAAUGAGCAGGCGUUGUAAACUAUUCUAUGCAUCAAAAAGCCCUAUGUUCUGCGCAGUGCUCCUCCCUCCGAGUCCAGUGACUUUUUAAUAACUCACUUUUCUAAAGUUUUAACUUGGAUUUCUGUCACGUUUAAACGCCACCGCUCCUGGAUCUCUCUCUAUGCUGUGCCCUGCCUAGUAUUUCUGAGUCCCCUGAAAUAGGCUGUCUGCAUUCUCUUUUUUAAUGCACUGGGCCCUUUCUUUCAAAUUAGUCAGUUUGUUUCAGAUCUUGUCAUUUCUGCUAUAGGUGACUGCUCAAGAUGUGGCUUCCUGUAGUUCAGAGAUAGUUUUCAAAACUGCCUCAAGCUUAUGUAGUAGUGUUAAGAAUAAACAGGUGUGGAACAUAUGGCCUAUAUUUGAAUAGUUGUGGGAAUAACUGUGGGAACAUGGAGCAGCAAGAAUAAGCUGUGGGACCAAUGGGCUGUGGGAACAUAGAGCAGCUGACCCCCAACAGGGUCUUCAUGGUUGUAUGACCUGAAUACAUUUUCAAAGCGGAGCCACAGGAUGCGGACUUCUACUCUUUUCCACUAUUAGACGCGCCUUUGUCCUGCACCUGGCCUCAGCGAGGUGGGAUGUGCAUACUCUUACUUUUAUAAAAAUGUUGUAUAUUGACCACUAAUUCUGUGCAUGCUGUCAUACAGAGAUGAUGACCCAUUCCUGAAGUUGGACGCCAGAAUGCAGGAAGGUGCUGUUUAAGAGCCUAGGCGGUGGAAGAAGCACUUGCAGGUAUGCUACCGACCAGGCUCCUCAACAUCAAUCCGAGACGGAAGAUGAACCGGGAUGAAGCAGUUAGAUUGAGACAAGGCGGCCGGAAACUUUGAUGACCUCAAUGACACUGG